rnacentral:rRNA from 1 species
GACGAACGCUGGCGGCGUGCUUAACACAUGCCAGUCGAACGGAAAGGCCCUGCUUUUGUGGGGUGCUCGAGUGGCGAACGGGUUAGUAACACGUGAGUAACCUGCCCUUGACUUUGGGAUAACUUCAGGAAACUGGGGCUAAUACCGGAUAGGAGCUCCUGCUGCAUGGUGGGGGUUGGAAAGUUUCGGCGGUUGGGGAUGGACUCGCGGCUUAUCAGCUUGUUGGUGGGGUAGUGGCUUACCAAGGCUUUGACGGGUAGCCGGCCUGAGAGGGUGACCGGCCACAUUGGGACUGAGAUACGGCCCAGACUCCUACGGGAGGCAGCAGUGGGGAAUAUUGCACAAUGGGCGGAAGCCUGAUGCAGCAACGCCGCGUGCGGGAUGACGGCCUUCGGGUUGUAAACCGCUUUCGCCUGUGACGAAGCGUGAGUGACGGUAAUGGGUAAAGAAGCACCGGCUAACUACGUG